rnacentral:rRNA from 1 species
UACGGAGGGAGCUAGCGUUGUUCGGAAUUACUGGGCGUAAAGCGCACGUAGGCGGCUUUGUAAGUUAGAGGUGAAAGCCCGGGGCUCAACUCCAGAACUGCCUUUGAUACUGAAGAUCUUGAGUUCGGGAGAGGUGAGUGGAACUGCGAGUGUAGAGGUGAAAUUCGUAGAUAUUCGCAAGAACACCAGUGGCGAAGGCGGCUCACUGGCCCGAUACUGACGCUGAGGUGCGAAAGCGUGGGGAGCAAACAGG